UUUACACGUGAGAUGAAGGAGAAGAAAAGAUGAAAGAAAAGCUUCGCUUUCAAUUAACAACGUAAGAGAGAAUACUUUGUUACGUAAUUUCUUUGCUGUGCUAUCGUUUCACGGAUCUUCCUUUUAUGCCGCGAUCGAGAGAAACAUGCUAAAGUUGCUCGACACGAUCAACAACCGCGCGAAUUUCGAUGAAAAUUUCGAUAAAAAGAAGAACGUUUUGCCAUGGCGCGUGUAUCGCGUUGUAAACGAAUAUUUUUCCACUUUCUAGACCGAGUUAAGCGAUAAUUCUCGUCGACUCCUGGAGAUCCCAGCUGAGCACGUACAUUACUACGUUCUCGUCUGUCUCUGCAAGAUGUUGGGGCAAUGCCCUAUCAAGGUUGUGAAUGUUCCGCGUACAUCAAAGAACUUCCUUAACUCGCUAAUGUUAUUUUUUUCUUCGUCGUUUUUCCUCUCAUCAAUAGCCUCACUCGAUGAGUUUUUCCUACUAUAUUAACGGUAAUAGUACGUAAAUUUAAUAUGCAACGAUUUCUUUUUAAAAAACAAAGUCUAUUUUUAUAAUUUCCCAUCUACUUUAUCAUGUAUCUCAUUUUCUACGAAUUCUACGAAAUGAUCUUGAAUAGACUGGAUAUAUAUAUAUUUUUUUUUCUGAAAAAAUAUAAUUACUCGAAAUUUCUUUUAAAAUCGCAAUUUUAAAUUUCCAGAAUAAAUACAAGCGAGCAGGAGGUCGAACGAGGCUCACCAAACAGAAUAAAAUUCAUCGUUCAAGUGGAUUUGCAUAACUUAUCGAUGACCGAUGCGCGCCGAUGAAAGUGGCGGAAGUCGUGAAUGCGAAGACUUUUUCGAAUUUUUCCCAGCAGGAAAACGCGUUCUUCGAUUCGAUUCCACGAAAUCAGCCGAUAAAUGUCAUCAAAGUUCGCCGAUUCGUGUCACGAUUUGUCCUCGAUCGGUAUGCAAGUUUUGAAGAUCAGACUCGAUUCUCGACAUUGAAACGAAUCACGAUUUUAUUUUCCCGGCUUUCAUCCCAUGAUUUUUAAUGUAUUCGAAAAAUUAAGUUGAGAAACAUAUUUUAUCAUUAUAUAGAAACAAUAUUAUUUUUCUGUCUAUAAUAUACGUCUAUCUAAUACGAAACAGAUGGUGUGAAAUCGUAAGUUCUUUAAUCAAUGAAUCUUUUGUUAUUUCAAAUUAGUUUUAACGAUUCUGAGAAAUAAUUAAAUAUAAAAAAAAUAUAGAAUAUUUUUGCACAGAAAUUCCAACGAAUUCUGUGACUGGAAUUAUUAGAAUCGCUUCACGACAUUGCGUUCAAGGCAACCUCCAAAACGCUGGCAACUGGCCAUUCGAAAAGUUGGCUUAAUUGCCAACGGUCAUUAAUUCGAGUAGCAACUCGAAAUCGUGUGAAGGAUUUUUCUGCAACGUCCACCACAUGGGUCGCGUGACAGUUGUUUCGUAAAUGCUAGGUGCCUGCAUCGCGCGGAUGACGUUCAAGCCGGCCAUUUUAUGCAGACGACAUGCGUCAAACGUCAACAAGAUGGCUCACGCUGGUGGAACGUCCCUCAUCAAUAUCCAUAAGUCAAAGGACAUCCGUCUUCGCGUACACACGCGGAAUAAUUUACAAGGAUCCGUGAUAACCGAGUGGAGGGAUCGUUGGUGGGGAACGUGCGUGAGAUAAUAAUGCAAGGGAACGAGGUGACGCCGUUUCCUUUCGACGAUCCCGGUGAUAAGCGGCGACGAAAGUUGUUUUAUUAAUGAAUAUACGCAAUAAAUACUACGCUUUUCUGCGUAGAAAUGGAAGAGAACGAGGCGAGAAUUGGACGAAGAAGGAAUUCGAUAAUUCUGUCUUGGGAGAAACGACCCGGGAAGAAGAAACUUGGUACAGUUAGAGAGAGUCGUUAGAUUGCGAGCGAUCACGCGAUACGAAGAUGGCUGGAAAUGAGCGACGCGAAGUGAAACGAUUAUUGGAUAGGAGUGAGUGAUGCGCUGUGAAAAUGCACCUCGGGCUGGAGAUGAUCGCAGAGAGAAAUGUUGCAAAUUGGAGACGAUUAAAGCGAAAACAUUACGAGCUGGAGAUGAUUAGAGCGAAACAAUAAUUGGAGAAGAAUAACGGGGGAUUGGAGCAGAAAAAUAAGAAUUAGAAUCAGAGCGGUGAAGAUUGGUGAAUAUUAAGACGAGAUAGGAACGCGGAUUGGAACAGAAAAAUUAACUCCAAACGAGAUAUAAUGAAUCAAUAUACGGAAUGGAGGGGGUAUUGGAAUAAAAGAAGAGAGGUUAGAGAGACGAAAUGGAACGAAAGAUUAUAAAUUGAAGAAGAUUAUGAUCAAACAAUGUGAGCAGAAAAAAUAUCUAAAGAUAGGGUGAAGCAUAGCAAUAAAUUGGAGAAUCAACAUUGAAACAAAAUCAAUGAAAUUAAAGUGAAAGAAUGUGAUUUAUAUCGAGAUUGAAGAAGGUUACAAUUCCAAGAAUGAUCGAAAAAAAAUGAUAAAAUGCGGAUUUAAAUGAGAAUUUGAAAUUAGAUAUAAAUUGAAGAAAAUUGAAAUUAAACAACAACAAGGGUUAUUUUAAAGAGUAAGAAGAAUCAGUAUUUGUAGUUAAUUUUUAAAGAAAAUUUAAUAUUCCUCUUCUAAAGCAUUUUUUUCUGAUUACAUCACUCUUAUGUCACGCACAACCUUCAAAUUUUUUACUCUUUUUUACUCUACGACAAGUUUGGAUUACAAAAUAAAUAUCACAAGGAACAGUUAAUCGAACUCUUUUAAUUUAAUUUAUGAUUAUUUCAUUUAUGAUUGUUAGUUUUAUAAGCGGUAAAAUAUGAUUGGAUCGCAAUGAAGAAUGAAAUUAAUAAAUCUUACCUCCAUCGUGAAAAUGAAUCUUUAUCAAUUUAAAUAAUUAAUUUCUUGUAUAAUUUUUCAGGAAAUGAAAGAUGAUUGUAUUUCUUUAUUAUACUCUUAAUAAGUAAAAAGUAAAAAAACGCUUAACAUACGUUCCUUUUUCCCGAUACCGAGAUUCUUUCAAUUUAAAUUCAUGACUGGCGUCUUUGUAAAAUUUCUAGUAUAAGCAGACAUCAUGUAUACCUCAUCCAACAUCCAUUAAUGACGUUUUUACUUCCGUUGAAGGCAAAGAGACAUUAGCAUCCGUUUUAACAAAAUAUUUAAAGACUCAAUAAUCAUUCAUCACGCAAUAAAAAAUUUAUCAUAUGAGGUAUCAAAAUUAAAUUAUGUAAUUACAUUACAUUUAACGCGCAUACCGACUUUAGAAUAAUAAAUUACUUUGAAUAAAAAUAUUGGAAGAGGAAUAAUAAUUGAAAGAGCAAUAUGAUAAUAUCUUUAAAAUAAUACCUUAUUGAUUUUUAUUGAGAUAUUAAUAAUAAAAAUCAAUAAAAAUCAAUAUAUUAUUUUUGUCAAAAGAUCUUGCAUAUUUUUACGUUAAUUACGUUUGUAAUUUUAAAAGAAUAAAAAAUUUAUUUUAGUAUACUAAAA